GACGAACGCUGGCGGCGUGCUUAACACAUGCAAGUCGAACGAAGAGCGAUGGAAGCUUGCUUCUAUCAAUCUUAGUGGCGAACGGGUGAGUAACGCGUAAUCAACCUGCCCUUCAGAGGGGGACAACAGUUGGAAACGACUGCUAAUACCGCAUACGAUCCAAUCUCGGCAUCGGGACUGGAUGAAAGGUGGCCUCUAUUUAUAAGCUAUCACUGAAGGAGGGGAUUGCGUCUGAUUAGCUAGUUGGAGGGGAACGGCCCACCAAGGCGAUGAUCAGUAGCCGGUCUGAGAGGAUGAACGGCCACAUUGGGACUGAGACACGGCCCAGACUCCUACGGGAGGCAGCAGUGGGGAAUCUUCCGCAAUGGACGAAAGUCUGACGGAGCAACGCCGCGUGAGUGAUGACGGCCUUCGGGUUGUAAAGCUCUGUUAAUCGGGACGAAUGGUUCUUGUGCGAAUAGGGCGAGGAUUUGACGGUACCGGAAUAGAAAGCCACGGCUAACUACGUG
rnacentral:rRNA from 1 species